AGUUCCAUUCAUCACAGACGCCUUUUAUACUCUCCUUUAGACUUUUCAUAGCCUUUAUAUUUCCUGUUCUGCAACAAAUAUGGAGGAAAAAGACUCGAGGGAUGAAGACAGAGAGGAACCAAAUUAUAUGUCCCUUGAAACUUUGGGAGGAGCUGCUAGUUAAUUCAUCUGGAACACUCAUUUGAGCAAGAAAAUCGAAACCACUGACGUAACGAAGAUACGAGAAAAAUAACUCGUGAUCGGGCCUCGACCUCGGACCUUCAUAGGGGUCGCAAGGUCAACAGUGGCAUUAUAUUUAAUUUUUUUACUAGCUAGGUUUAAUUCGCCUCUCCUAUGGCAUGCAUCAUGCAAUAUUAAAAGAAACCAAAAUAUUACUCUCUACUUUUAGUCCCCUUUUCAUUCAUGGGAGAGGAGACUUAAAAUCUGUCUUCUUCUUUUUUUUCAUUAUGGAUGAGAGAAACACAUAAGCCCUUUCAUUAAUUAUGAUCAAGGUUAUGACAUAACUUGAGAUAAUUGUUUUACUGAAUUACAAGAAGACUUCAAAAAAUAUGUAACUGACCAAGGCAUUUGGAAUGGAAAUCAAGUUUCUUGGUAUUGACCAAUCAACA